UCAAUAGAUAAUAGAAGGAUCUUAGUAAACAUCUAAGAUUUGAAUACUUAAAUGCUUUUUAAAUGUGUUUUCACCAGUUCUGUAGAAU